rnacentral:rRNA from 1 species
ACCGCUCUCGCAGCCCGUACCGAAAUGGUGGCUUUACCCCCCUGCUGGAGCACGAGACGCUACGCCUCAACGUAUUUCGGGGAGAGGGAAACAGCCCAGCCCGCCAGCUAAGGUCCCCAAAUCAACACUAAGUGAUAAAGGAGGUGGAGUUGCAUAGACAACCAGGAGGUUUGCUUAGAAGCAGCCAUCCUCAAAGGAGUGCGUAAUAGCUCACUGGUCGAGCGAUUCUGCACCGAAAAUGAACGGGGCUAAGUGUUGUACCGAAGCUGCGGAUUUUAUGGUAGGGGAGCGUUCUAUGUGGGGCGAAGCAUUAGCGUGAGCGGAUGUGGACUGCAUAGAAGUGAGAAUGUCGGCUUGAGUAGCGAAAACAUGGGUGAGAAUCCCAUGCACCGAAACCCUAAGGGUUCCUCCGGCAGGCUCGUCCGCGGAGGGUUAGUCUGGACCUAAGGCGAGGCCGAAAGGCGUAGUCGAUGGAUAACAGGUCAACAUUCCUGUACCGGUCAUGUUUUGGGAAGAGGGACGGAGAAGGCUAGCCAAGCCAGAUGUUGGUUACUGGUUCAAGCGUUCGAGGCGUUGAGGAGCGGUGAAAACGUUCCGAGCUGAGGCGUGAGUACGAGCUGCUACGGCAGCGAAGUUGGUGACGUCAUGCUUCCAAGAAAAGCUCUAUACCCGUUAAGACAUGAUUGCCAGUACCCGAAACCGACACAGGUGGGGUGGUAGAGAAUACCGAGGUGCGCGAGGUAACUCUCUCUAAGGAACUCGGCAAAAUGGCCCCGUAACUUCGGGAGAAGGGGUGCCACAGCAAUGUGGUCGCAGUGAAGAGGCCCUGGCGACUGUUUACCAAAAACACAGGUCUCCGCUAAGUCGCAAGACGAUGUAUGGGGGCUGACGCCUGCCCAGUGCCGGAAGGUUAAGGAAGCCGGUCAGCGUAAGCGAAGCUGGCGACUGAAGCCCCGGUGAACGGCGGCCGUAACUAUAACGGUCCUAAGGUAGCGAAAUUCCUUGUCGGGUAAGUUCCGACCCGCACGAAAGGCGUAACGAUCAGGGCGCUGUCUCGGAGAGAGGCUCGGCGAAAUAGAAUUGUCUGUGAAGAUGCGGACUACGUACACCUGGACAGAAAGACCCUAUGAAGCUUUACUGUAGCUUGAUAUUGUGUUCGGGCUCUGAAUGCGCAGGAUAGGUGGGAGAUGUUGAUCUCGUGCUCGUGGGUACGAGGGAGUCAAUGGUGAGAUACCACUCUUUCAGAGCUAGAAUUCUAACGUUCACCCGUCAUCCGGGGAGCGGACAUUAUCAGGUGGGCAGUUUGACUGGGGCGGUCGCCUCCUAAAAGGUAACGGAGGCGCGCAAAGGUUUCCUCAGGCUGGUUGGAAAUCAGCUGACGAGUGCAAAAGCAGAAGGAAGCUUGACUGUGAGACCUACAAGUCGAACAGGGACGAAAGUCGGCUUUAGUGAUCCGACGGUUCUGAGUGGAAGGGCCGUCGCUCAACGGAUAAAAGUUACUCUAGGGAUAACAGGCUGAUCUCCCCCAAGAGUUCACAUCGACGGGGAGGUUUGGCACCUCGAUGUCGGCUCAUCGCAACCUGGGGCUGAAGUCGGUCCCAAGGGUUGGGCUGUUCGCCCAUUAAAGCGGUACGCGAGCUGGGUUCAGAACGUCGUGAGACAGUUCGGUCCAUAUCCGGUGUACGCGUAGGAACAUUGAGAGGAGUUCUCCCUAGUACGAGAGGACCGGGAGGAACGCACCUCUGGUGUACCAGUUAUCGUGCCAACGGUAAACGCUGGGUAGCCAUGUGCGGAGUGGAUAACCGCUGAAAGCAUCUAAGUGGGAAGCCCACCUCAAGAUGAGUGUUCCCAUGGGGUAACCCAGUAAGGUCACGGGAAGAACACCCGUUGAUAGGCUCUACGUGGAAGUCCAGUAAUGGAUGCAGCGGAGGAGUACUAAUAGACCGAGGGCUUGACCAA